AUGGCUUCCUCUCUCGGUUGUCAGAGGCUCAAAAACUUUGCGCAACAACCUGCCAUUGGUACUCGUGGUGGAAUUCUGUUGCUGUGGGAUGAAGACCUUGUCGAUGUUAAGGACAUUAGCACUGGAUCUUUUUUCCUGUCUGCCACAGUCACCAUUGCAUGUAACAACUCUUCUUUCAAGUUCACAACCGUCUACGGGCCAACCCGAAGCAACCUCAAAGACUCUUUUUUCCAGGAGCUGAUCAAUGAGAAGCCAGCCCCUGGUACUAGAUGGCUGCUUGCCGACGACUUUAAUCAGAUUUAUCGGGCAAGCGACAAAAACAGAGCUAAUAGUAACCGAAGCCGCAUGACACGCUUUCGCAACACCCUCAAUACUUGUCAGCUCAAAGAAAUAAACUUGCAGAACAGGAAAUUCAUGUGGAGUAAUGAACAAAGCGCUCCAACGCUAAGCAAACUGGACUUUUUUUUUCUGCAAUGA
rnacentral:rRNA from 1 species